UCCGAGUUGACCCCGGCAGUCUUCGAUGAGUCCCCGGCAUAACCCGCUGGCAACAUCGAACGAGGGUUGCGCUCGUUGCGGGACUUAACCCAACAUCUCACGACACGAGCUGACGACAGCCAUGCAGCACCUGUCUCCGGUCCAGCCGAACUGAAAAGCUCCAUCUCUGGUGCUCGCGGCCGGGAUGUCAAAGGCUGGUAAGGUUCUGCGCGUUGCUUCGAAUUGAGCCACAUGCUCCACCGCUUGUGCGGGCCCCCGUCAAUUCUUUUGAGUUUUAGCCUUGCGGCCGUACUCCCCAGGCGGAACACUUAACGCGUUGGCUUCGGCACAGGGGGAUUCGACUCCCCCCACACCUAGUGUUCAUCGUUUACGGCAUGGACUAC
rnacentral:misc_RNA from 1 species